rnacentral:misc_RNA from 1 species
GAUUACCCCCUAGUUGUGGAGGAGGAUGAUCCAGAUUGGCCUGAAGAUGCUGAUGGGUGGGGAUUCAACUUGGGUCAGUUCUUCAACAAAAUAACUAUCAAGAAUGUCAAGAAGGAUGUUGAUGAUGAGAACUACGAUAGUGAAAAUGAAAUAGUUUGGCAAGACGAUAAUUACAUUCGUCCAAUCAAAGACAUCACUACGACACAAUGGGAGGAGACAGUGUUCAAAGACAUCAGUCCUUUGAUCGUACUUGUACAUAAUCGAUAUAAAAGAUCAAAGGAAAAUGAAAAGAUUCGAGAUGAACUGGAGAAGGCUGUACACAUCAUAUGGAACUGCAGGCUACCUUCACCAAGAUGUGUUGCAAUUGAUGCUGUUGUUGAGACUGAUUUGGUCUGUGCUCUAAAAGUGUCCAUCUUCCCAGAAAUUAUUUUCACUAAAGCUGGAAAGAUCUUGUAUCGUGAGAAAGCUAUGCGAACUGCAGACGAGUUUUCAAAAAUAAUGGCGUACUUCUAUUAUGGAGCUGGCAAGCCACCUUGUUUGAAUGACAUUGAAGAUAGCCAGGAAUUGAUCCCAUCUGUUUCCCUAGCAGAUAAAAAUGCUAAAAUUAUUGAUGUACAGCCACUUCAAUAGGAGUAAAAGUUUCCAAGAUUAGUGAUGGUCUUCCAUGUGUUGUUGUUCCUGUUAUAAAUGUAAUCAUUUAACUCCUGUGCAAGAGCCGUAAGAUCAUAAAUAUUUUGUUCUUCUUUUGUAAGAUAAAGUGUGGAGCUAUCUGCCA